UUUGCUGUGAUGAGCUGUUAACAUGUGAGAAGAACUCUCUCAUGGUGUCUCUUCUGUGAAAUAUACCUGUUUUGCCAA